AUUGAACGCUGGCGGCAUGCCUUACACAUGCAAGUCGAACGGUAACAGGUCUUCGGAUGCUGACGAGUGGCGAACGGGUGAGUAAUACAUCGGAACGUGCCCGAUCGUGGGGGAUAACGAGGCGAAAGCUUUGCUAAUACCGCAUACGAUCUACGGAUGAAAGCGGGGGAUCUUCGGACCUCGCGCGGACGGAGCGGCCGAUGGCAGAUUAGGUAGUUGGUGGGAUAAAAGCUUACCAAGCCGACGAUCUGUAGCUGGUCUGAGAGGAUGAUCAGCCACACUGGGACUGAGACACGGCCCAGACUCCUACGGGAGGCAGCAGUGGGGAAUUUUGGACAUUGGGCGAAAGCCUGAUCCAGCCAUGCCGCGUGCAGGAUGAAGGCCUUCGGGUUGUAAACUGCUUUUGUACGGAACGAAAAGCCUCUUUCUAAUAAAGAGGGGUCAUGACGGUACCGUAAGAAUAAGCACCGGCUAACUACGUG
rnacentral:rRNA from 1 species